rnacentral:rRNA from 1 species
UACGGAGGGUGCGAACGUUAAUCGGAAUCACUGGGCGUAAAGCGCGCGUAGGCGGUCUGUUAAGUGGGAUGUGAAAUCCCCGGGCUUAACCCAGAGCCUGCAUUCAAAACUGACAGGCUAGAGUUCUGGAGGGGAUAGCGGAAUUCCUGGUGUAGCGGUGAAAUGCGUAGAUAUCAGGAGGAACACCGGUGGCGAAGGCGGCUAUCUGGACAGAGUCUGACGCUGAGGCGCGAAAGCUAGGGGAGCAAACAGG